rnacentral:rRNA from 1 species
GAUGAACGCUGGCGGCGUGCCUAAUACAUGCAAGUCGAGCGAACGGACGAGAAGCUUGCUUUUCUGAUGUUAGCGGCGGACGGGUGAGUAACACGUGGAUAACCGACCUAUAAGACUGGGAUAACUUCGGGAAACCGGAGCUAAUACCGGAUAAUAUUUUGAACCGCAUGGUUCAAAAGUGAAAGACGGUCUUGCUGUCACUUAUAGAUGGAUCCGCGCUGCAUUAGCUAGUUGGUAAGGUAACGGCUUACCAAGGCAACGAUGCAUAGCCGACCUGAGAGGGUGAUCGGCCACACUGGAACUGAGACACGGUCCAGACUCCUACGGGAGGCAGCAGUGGGGAAUCUUGCGCAAUGGGCGAAAGCCUGACGGAGCAACGCCGCGUGAGUGAUGAAGGUCUUCGGAUCGUAAAACUCUGUUAGUAGGGAAGAACAUAUGUGUAAGUAACUGUGCCUAUCUUGACGGUACCUAAACAGAAAGCCACGGCUAACUACGUG